ACUUCCUUACAGGGAGGGCAGAGCAUUUCCAAGGUGAUUGCUAACUGUCCCCACCCCUCACACACAAAGACAUCAUGUCCCAGCCCUGGAGGGGCCUUGAGUCUGGUGUGGCCCUCCGAGGGUCACGGGCACCUCCUAAUUGCAGGAUGCAGGGCUCACGGAAUAAACACCAUGUUUCACUUCCUCUGCAAACAUCGCACAUCUGAGAAACUCAUUUCCGUUUCUGAGACACAUCUUUCCCAGCUGUGCAGGCUGGGGUCAGACUUAAUAAAAUAGAAGUGGUGGGACAGCGGGCUGAUGGAGUCGAUGCCCCCCAGUAUUACAGUCAGCGUGUCUCUGUGCUCUGUGAGGAUGCGGAUCUGUCCAAGUUCCCUUCCCUGAAACAGACCACGUGGCUCUUGUUCUCCUUCUUGACAGGAUUCCACAGAACCCAAGAUCUGAUGAUGAUGGAUCCCUGCCGUCCAUGCGGGAGAGAUGCAGAUGCCCUCCAGCUGAAGAUCACUGGGGCACACCUGGCAUGGAACUGUGAGACCCUGCUUCAAGACCACGGUGACCCAUCCUGGCCAGUUGGAGCCCUUCCCUGGAAACUACCAAGCUGGGUUCAGUCAGGAGGAGCCGUUUCUUCGGUGGGCAAAGCUAACUUGGGCUUCCCAGGUGGCACAGUGGCAAAGAGUUCUGCUGCCAGUGCAAGAGACAU